AGGAGGAAGAGGAACAACAUCCCAGGUAUGGUUGGCAUCCAAGGCAUCAAACUCCUUUCUCAUGGCAUCCUGCCAUACUGGAACAGAUGCAGCUUGAGAUUAAUAAAGAGGUUCAGAUUCCAGAGAAGAAGAGGAGGAGCCAGAUAAGGCAGAAAGUUGACAGACAUAGUCCUUAUGAUAAGAUGGAGGAUUAUGCUGUCUUCCAGAUUUUCUGGGAGCAGGAGCAGAUGUGGAAGAAAGCAAAUUAGGAGGAGAGGAAUCAGGAUUGAAGGAAGGAAUGGAGGCUGGAUUAGAAGAAGAAGAAUAAGUGGUGGCAGAAGGAGGAGGAGGAGAGGAACAAACAUGUAUCAACAAGUCAGUGUCAGAG
rnacentral:lncRNA from 1 species